UUUGCCCCCCGCCCCGUCUCUCUUCUUUGCGGGGCACCCCGGCCAGUCUGAACCGGUUGUGACUGAGUGAGCGGGGAAGGAGAAGGAGGCGGAGGAGAUGGAGGUGGAAAGGCGGCGGUAGGGGCGCUGCUCCCGCUCUCGCGGCUCCCGGCCGGGCCGGGCCGGCCAGGAGGAGGGAGGGCACUGCGGGGGCCGCUGCCCGGGCCCAGCUCCGGCCCGGAGCCACCAAGGCCGCGGGAGAGCGAGGCACCGCCGGCCACGGGCCCUCUCGGUGCGCGCACGAGCGCGUCCCCCGGCGCCGCUGCGCCCCGCCGCCCACCGCGUGCCCGCGCCGGCCCGCCCAGGACAGUGUGCAUUUGGAGGGAGCCCGGGUCUGAGGAUGAGUGCGAGUCUCCCCGGGUCUCCCAGGUUCCUGGACGGCAGGGCGCCCUCCUGGCCGGAGCUGUAUCCCCAGCUGGCAGUGAUCCCAGAGAGACGGGCACCAGAACUUUGUGGAGUCGGUGCUCCUGGGCAGUGAGGAGUGAGGAUGUCAAGUGCUGCCCUUUGUGACAGCUCUAUGGGAAAGGGGGGCGCCCCUGAAGUGCACAUAGUGUGCUGAGGGAGAGAGGCUGCAUCUGAGGACGUUUAGUCUGUAUGGCAGGUCUUUCUGAGAAGGGACACCAUAUCUUCUACCAGCUUCUCAGAGGGGGCUGGGACCACCCAUCACCGAAAUGAACAUUUCCUUUAGACACUGAACCUCCUCUAAUUCUCACCUAGACAAAGACCCUACACCUUGCAAAGGGUUGGUUUCUGAAGUCCAAAUGAAGCUGCAUAAGCUUCCUGAGCCGCGGUUUUUCAUCUUGCACGUGUCCAGAAGUCUGUGUGAGAUGAAAGUUCCCAAAACACCUGUGGACCCUGGCCACGCCGGCGAGUGUUCUUACAGGGUUUUGUUCAGGAUUCAAAUUCCCAGAAGAGAAAGUGUGACUGGCCCGGUUUGGGCAAUGUAACCAUCUCACUCAGAGGAAGACAAGACACUUUGAGAGGACUCUCCAAAAGCAAAUUGGGAUGUUGACUAGCCUAAACACAAUAAAUGUCCUCUACAGUGGGUUAGACCCUGUGUCUUUAUAUGAAGGCAUUCUCCAGGAAGCAAAGAGGAACCACUGAAGGAUUCUAAACAGUGGAUGACAUGGUUGGCUUUGUGUUUCAUAACCAUCACUCUUGGAAACCACGUUGGAAGAUGGACUGGGAGAGAAAGUGGUUAGAGGCUGAUUUAACAGCCGAGGCAAAAAUAUAUAUUUGAAAAUUUAACACCUAGAGAAUUUUGAAAUAAGGGGACCAAUCUGAGAGAUUAAGAAGUGCCAUGAAACUGAUGGGUGUGGGGAUUAGUGGAAAGAAAGGUUGGGGAUGGAUUCUGGGUUUCCCAUAAGAGCUUAUAAAGAAUUGCUGUAAAAUUAACGGAAGUGUGCCUCCCACUGCAGGAUCCUCUAGAAUAGUCCAAAUUUCAAAUAUUGAAUCUCAUUGUUCUAAUAAAACAUAAAAACAAUUCCAAGAAACUCCAAUUUAAAAUAUAUUUCCAAGAUUUCUUUUGCAAUUGGAUAUGGUGGAAAGUUCUUUUGUCUGACUCAAAUUUCCUGAUCUAUGGUUUGGAUAAUAUGAUCAUAGGUAGGUGAACAUAUGCAACAGAAACAAAGAGCAAGAAACCUAUUCAAUACCAGUACAGUGAGUAGUGGUACGUGCAAAGUACACGCCAAAGUUUUACUGGAAAAAGGCUUGUCCUCACCGAGAAGAGUCAGUGUUGAUUAUUAGGUUAAAGUGACCUUAGGGGCUUCCCUGGUGGCGCAGUGGUUGAGAGUCUGCCUGCC